UGGUGGAGUGAUUUGUCUGGUUAAUUCCGUUAACGAACGAGACCUCAGCCUGCUUUUGUAGUAGGGCGUUUGCCUCCGGGUAAACGCGUCCAACUUCUUAGAGGGACUAUCGACGGGAGUCGAUGGAAGUUUGAGGCAAUAACA
rnacentral:rRNA from 1 species